rnacentral:rRNA from 1 species
GUCGAACGAGAAAGUGGAGCAAUCCAUGAGUAAAGUGGCGCACGGGUGAGUAACACGUGACUAACCUACCCUUGAGUGGGGGAUAACCUAGGGAAACCUGGGCUAAUACCGCAUAAUACCUACGGGUCAAAGGAGCAAUUCGCUUAAGGAGGGGGUCGCGGCCGAUUAGUUAGUUGGCGGGGUAAUGGCCCACCAAGACGAUGAUCGGUAUCCGGCCUGAGAGGGCGCACGGACACACUGGAACUGAAACACGGUCCAGACUCCUACGGGAGGCAGCAGUGGGGAAUUUUGCGCAAUGGGGGAAACCCUGACGCAGCAACGCCGCGUGGAGGAUGAAGUCCCUUGGGACGUAAACUCCUUUCGACCGGGACGAUAAUGACGGUACCGGAAGAAGAAGCCCCGGCUAACUUCGUGCCAGCAGCCGCGGUAAUACGAGGGGGGCGAGCGUUGUUCGGAAUUAUUGGGCGUAAAGGGUGCGUAGGCGGUUUGGUAAGUCUCGUGUGA